CAUGUGCAUCAUGUAGACAACUCAUUAACCCCAGGACUGUCUGCUCAAGAACAUCUUGAUGGACACAUGUUCCAGGGGAAAUCUUUGGGAUAUGCUUGGCUGGAGCUUAAGUGUAUGUGCAGAUGGACUGAGCAACCUGCACAGCACUGUGGCCAAAUUCUGAAGAACCUUUUCCAUUUAAACAAACAAACAAGAUCAAGACACGACUAUUUAAGGCCCUGGCCACCACGGUUCUACUUUCAUCUCUGAUUUGGACUGCCCUCAAUACCUCGGGUAAGUGCAGAAG